rnacentral:rRNA from 1 species
GACGAACGCUGGCGGCGUGCUUAACACAUGCAAGUCGUACGGUAAGGCCCUUUCGGGGGUACACGAGUGGCGAACGGGUGAGUAACACGUGAGUAACCUGCCCACAACUUUGGGAUAACGCUAGGAAACUGGUGCUAAUACUGGAUAUGUGCUCCUGCUGCAUGGUGGGGGUUGGAAAGCUCCGGCGGUUGUGGAUGGACUCGCGUCCUAUCAGCUUGUUGGUGGGGUAGUGGCCUACCAAGGCGGCGACGGGUAGCCGGCCUGAGAGGGUGACCGGCCACAUUGGGACUGAGAUACGGCCCAGACUCCUACGGGAGGCAGCAGUGGGGAAUAUUGCACAAUGGGCGCAAGCCUGAUGCAGCAACGCCGCGUGCGGGAUGACGGCCUUCGGGUUGUAAACCGCUUUCAGCAGGGACGAAGCUUUUUGUGACGGUACCUGCAGAAGAAGCACCGGCUAACUACGUG